GCACGCGCCGCGGACCGUGGCGCGAAGGUGUUCGGUGAAAUGCCGCUCCGGGGUAGUCACGCUUCCACGGCGUCGUUUGGCCGGUCGAUCGAUGAAAUGCCUCCAGCGGUCCAGCCGAGAGGGUCGGCGCUGCCCUGGCCUGGGUGCGCCGUGGUCCGUCGGGCAGGACGUCACAUCCGCUCCCGCGCGCUGCGAUGGGCAGCGGAAGGGCAGAAAAGCAAACCUGCCAUCUGGGACGCAUGAAUCGUGACAAAAUUCAAGGACACAUGGCUUGCACUCCUGCUCGUCAGUCAUCACAUCCUGGCAAAGGCAACGUGCUUUUGCACUUCAGGUAUUUCUUCUGUUCGGGCAUAUGCUCUGCCGUCACUCGGUCCACCGGGCCUCCUUCCUGUGCUCCUAGAGGCUGCCAUCUGGAGGCAGGCAAAGAGGAAAUACUCUGACGACGCCACGUUAGCGGUGAUUCUGUUCUUGGAAUCGGCUGGGUGCCAUUACCUGACUAGUACCGCACUCGUAUGUCGGGCUGGAUUAGGAUUUCAUGGUUUAUUCCUUUGGCACCGUGUCGCUCGUGGACACAAUUUCAGUAGAUUGCUUUGCUCUAUGGUGUUGAUGGAAUACUGGAAUCAUUAAGCAUGACUGGUGGUCUGCGAGAGACCGCUCUGAAUUCUGAUGCUCGGUGAGGUCACUAGCAUCAAUCUUGAUUUAAUUUAUGCCAGGUAGUAAAAACUGCCUCCUAGGUCGUAGCAUUGCUAUGCACCAGGAACAUACAAAACCAAUGCUGAGUAGUAUUCAUUAUCAAGGAGGCAGGAACAUAUAGUUGGAAUAUAUUUAUCACAUUUCACAUGGUAAGUGAAAUUCGUUUCUAGCAUAGUCAAAUCUUGUAGAGGUGGGAAAGUAGUCUAGAAAUUAAGGUCCAGCGUUUACUACCCAUUCGGUGUGCUUGGCCUCAUACAGAAUUCCGUCAGUCCUCAUGUAGAGGAGGUUAUUCUAAUACUACCUCCGUUCUCGAAUAUUUGUCGUCCGCUAGUUUAUUUUUAAACUAAAACGCGACAAAUAAAAAAGAACGGAGUGAGUAUCAUCUAAUAUAUCGUCUGCCACCGCACCCAUUCUCCCUUUGGCAGUUGAAGAACACUGAGGCCACAGGUGGUCCUAGAUUAUAGAGUGCUGAGAAGUCUCUUGUGUUGAAAUUUUGUCUCCAUCCUGGCGCAUAAAUAGUUUGCCUGACAGAUUGGCGGAACAGAACAAAGACGAAGCGAUGUAUUCCAGCACUUGGCUUUGGGCUUUCAUAGCUUACUACCUCAUUUCCUGAAAUAUAGUUUGAAUAAAAUCUAUCAGAACAAAUUCAUGCAAGUAUCAUAUCUAGACUUUGCAAAUAGGCAGUCAUGUUGCACAAGCCAAAGGCAGUUAUUCAAAUAUUUAUCUUCAACAAAGUUUGUAAAUAUGUCAGUAUAAACUGCUUAGUUUGAUGUUGUUCUAGUCUUUGGCAACUAAUAUAUGAACCUUUUUCAUCAGCUAUAGCUUGGAUUAUUUGGGUUCUAAAAAAAGGCACAGCAUAUUUUGUUUUGUCAAUUUAGGUUGAAACAAAGAUUCAAGUAGGGAAUACAAAAUGUAAGAGGACCGCGGAAACUCACCAAAG
rnacentral:lncRNA from 1 species